rnacentral:rRNA from 1 species
ACGGGAGGCAGCAGUGGGGAAUAUUGGACAAUGGGGGAAACCCUGAUCCAGCGAUGCCGCGUGAGUGAAGAAGUAUUUCGGUAUGUAAAGCUCUAUCAGCAAGGAAGAAAAUGACGGUACUUGACUAAGAAGCUCCGGCUAAAUACGUGCCAGCAGCCGCGGUAAUACGUAUGGAGCAAGCGUUAUCCGGAUUUACUGGGUGUAAAGGGAGCGUAGACGGCAAAGCAAGUCUGAAGUGAAAUGCCGGGGCUUAACCCCGGAACUGCUUUGGAAACUGUUUAGCUAGAGUGCAGGAGAGGUAAGCGGAAUGCCUAGUGUAGCGGUGAAAUGCGUAGAUAUUAGGAGGAACACCAGUGGCGAAGGCGGCCUACUGGACGACAACUGACGCUGAGGCGCGAAAGCGUGGGGAGCAAACAGGAUUAGAUACCCUGGUA